rnacentral:rRNA from 1 species
GAGUUGAGUGGCGAACGGGUGAGUAACACGUGGGCAACCUGCCCAAAAGAGGGGGAUAACACUUUCAAACAGGUGAUAAUACCGCAUAACCAUAGUUACCGCAUGGUAACUAUGUAAAAGGUGGCUAUGCUACCGCUUUUGGAUGGGCCCGCGGCGCAUUAGCUAGUUGGUGGGGCAAAGGCUUACCAAGGCAAUGAUGCGUAGCCGAACUGAGAGGUUGAUCGGCCACAUUGGGACUGAGACACGGCCCAAACUCCUACGGGAGGCAGCAGUAGGGAAUCUUCCACAAUGGGCGAAAGCCUGAUGGAGCAACGCCGCGUGGGUGAAGAAGGUCUUCGGAUCAUAAAACCCUGUUGCCCCCCCCACAAAGUGCGUGAGAGUAACUGUUCACGUUUCGACGGUAUCUAACCAGAAAGCCACGGCUAACUACGUGCCAGCAGCCGCGGUAAUACGUAGGUGGCGAGCGUUAUCCGGAUUUAUUGGGCGUAAAGGGAACGCAGGCGGUCUUUUAAGUCUGAUGUGAAAGCCUUCGGCUUAACCGGAGUAGUGCAUCCCAAACUGGGAGACUUGAGUGCAGAAGAGGCCCCCCGAACUCCAUGUGUAGCGGUGAAAUGCGUAGAUUUAUGGAAAAACACCAGUGGCGAAAGCGGCUCUCUGGUCUGUAACU